rnacentral:rRNA from 1 species
GGUCAAGUAAUGAAGUGCACAUGGUGGAUGCCUUGGCAGUCAGAGGCGAAGAAAGACGUGAUAGCCUGCGAUAAGCGUCGGUGAGGUGGCAAUAUCCUGUGACCCGGCGAUUUCUGAAUGGGGAAACCCAACCAACAUAAGUUGGUUAUUACACAGUUUACUGUGUAAGGCAAACCGGGAGAAGUGAAACAUCUCAGUACCCCGAGGAAAAGACAUCAAAUGAGAUUCCGUAAGUAGCGGCGAGCGAACACGGAGGAGCCGAUCAAUUUUACAGUAGCAAAAUGGCGUGGGAAAGCCAACCAUAGUAGGUGAUAGUCCUGUAUGCGAAACUGUUUAAGCGACAUAUUAAGUAGGGCGGAACACGAGAAAUUCUGUCUGAAGAUGGGGGGACCAUCCUCCAAGGCUAAAUACUCCUGACUGACCGAUAGUGAACCAGUACCGUGAGGGAAAGGCGAAAAGAACCCCUGUUAGGGGAGUGAAAUAGAACCUGAAACCGUGUGCAUACAAGCAGUCGGAGCGGACUUGUUCCGUGACGGCGUACCUUUUGUAUAAUGGGUCAGCGACUUAUAUUCUGUAGCAAGGUUAACCGAAUAGGGGAGCCGUAGGGAAACCGAGUCUUAAUAGGGCGAAUGAGUUGCAGGGUAUAGACCCGAAACCGAGUGAUCUAUCCAUGAGCAGGUUGAAAGUGCCGUAACAGGCACCGGAGGACCGAACCCACUGUCGUUGAAAAGCCAGGGGAUGACUUGUGGAUAGGGGUGAAAGGCUAAUCAAACUCGGUGAUAGCUGGUUCUCCCCGAAAGCUAUUUAGGUAGCGCCUCGGACGAACACCAUUGGGGGUAGAGCACUGUUUCGGCUAGGGGGUCACACCGACUUACCAAACCGAUGCAAACUCCGAAUACCGAUGAGUGAUAUCCGGGAGACAGACGGCGGGUGCUAACGUCCGUCGUCAAGAGGGAAACAACCCAGACCGCCAGCUAAGGCCCCAAAUUCCUAGUUAAGUGGGAAACGAUGUGGGAAGGCACAGACAGCUAGGAGGUUGGCUUAGAAGCAGCCACCCUUUAAAGAAAGCGUAAUAGCUCACUAGUCGAGUCGGCCUGCGCGGAAGAUGUAACGGGGCUCAAACUAGGAGCCGAAGCUGCGGAUUUAAUUGUUUCAAUUAAGUGGUAGGGGAGCGUUGUGUAAGCCUGUGAAGGUGCACUGUAAGGUGUGCUGGAGGUAUCACAAGAGCGAAUGCUGACGUGAGUAACGACAAAACGGGUGAAAAGCCCGUUCGCCGGAAGACCAAGGGUUCCAGUCCAACGUUAAUCGGGGCUGGGUGAGUCGACCCCUAAGGCGAGGCCGAAAGGCGUAGUCGAUGGGAAAUCGGUUAAUAUUCCGAUACUUGUUUAUGAUGCGAUGGAGGGACGGAGAAGGUUAUGCCAGCCUGGCGAUGGUUGUCCAGGUGGAAGGAUGUAGUUAGACUGAGUAGGCAAAUCCGCUCGGUUAUUAAUGAGAUCUGAUAGCAAGCCAGUUUACUGGCAAAGUGGCAAAUACCCUGCUUCCAGGAAAAGCUUCUAAGCGAUAGUCAUAAACGAAUCGUACCCGAAACCGACACAGGUGGUCAGGUAGAGAAUACCAAGGCGCUUGAGAGAACUCUGCUGAAGGAACUAGGCAAAAUGGUACCGUAACUUCGGGAGAAGGUACGCUGCCGAUGGUGAUGAAACUUGCUUUCUGAGCUGUUGGCAGUCGCAGAUACCAGGCUGCUGCAACUGUUUAUUAAAAACACAGCACUCUGCAAACACGAAAGUGGACGUAUAGGGUGUGAUGCCUGCCCGGUGCUGGAAGGUUAAUUGAUGGGGUUAGCGUAAGCGAAGCUCUUGAUCGAAGCCCCAGUAAACGGCGGCCGUAACUAUAACGGUCCUAAGGUAGCGAAAUUCCUUGUCGGGUAAGUUCCGACCUGCACGAAUGGCAUAAUGAUGGCAGCGCUGUCUCCAGCAGAGACUCAGUGAAAUCGAAAUCGCAGUGAAGAUGCUGUGUACCCGCGGCUAGACGGAAAGACCCCGUGAACCUUUACUACAGCUUUACAUUGAACUUUGACCUAACUUGUGUAGGAUAGGUGGGAGGCUUUGAAGCAGAUACGCCAGUAUUUGUGGAGCCAACCUUGAAAUACCACCCUGGUUAUGUUGGGGUUCUAACUUGAGAUUAACAGAUCUAAGGACAAUGUAUGGUGGGUAGUUUGACUGGGGCGGUCUCCUCCUAAAGAGUAACGGAGGAGUACGAAGGUGCGCUCAGAACGGUCGGAAAUCGUUCAAAGAGUAUAAAGGCAAAAGCGCGCUUAACUGCGAGACCCACAAGUCGAGCAGGUACGAAAGUAGGUCUUAGUGAUCCGGUGGUUCUGUAUGGAAGGGCCAUCGCUCAACGGAUAAAAGGUACUCUGGGGAUAACAGGCUGAUACCGCCCAAGAGUUCAUAUCGACGGCGGUGUUUGGCACCUCGAUGUCGGCUCAUCUCAUCCUGGGGCUGAAGCAGGUCCCAAGGGUAUGGCUGUUCGCCAUUUAAAGAGGUACGCGAGCUGGGUUUAGAACGUCGUGAGACAGUUCGGUCCCUAUCUACCGUGGGCGUUGGAAAUUUGAGAGGAUCUGCUCCUAGUACGAGAGGACCAGAGUGGACGAACCUCUGGUGUUUCGGUUGUCACGCCAGUGGCAUUGCCGAGUAGCUACGUUCGGAUGGGAUAACCGCUGAAAGCAUCUAAGCGGGAAGCCCACCUCAAGAUGAGAUUUCCCUAAAGAGCCGUUGUAGACUACGACGUUGAUAGGUUGGGUGUGGAAGUGUAGUGAUACAUGUAGCUAACCAAUACUAAUUGCUCGUUUGGCUUGACCAU